rnacentral:lncRNA from 1 species
AACCUCUGAUGAUCAAGUAAAAUCUGACCAUCAGAUUCCUACAUCUGGUCAAUUUUCCUCUUCAUGUUUGUGGCAUAGUUGUGUGCGAGCUUGUGCAACUAUUUAUUCUCAUGCUUGAGCCCUCUAAUCUCCUGUUUGAGACUCAUCACUUCAGCCGCCAAUGAUUCAACUUGACGGGUUCGAGCAAAUAAGCGUUGGGCCAUAUUGGACACAGAACC